rnacentral:rRNA from 1 species
AACGAACGCUGGCGGCAUGCCUAACACAUGCAAGUCGAACGAGACCUUCGGGUCUAGUGGCGCACGGGUGCGUAACGCGUGGGAACCUGCCCUUAGGUUCGGAAUAACUCCCCGAAAGGGGUGCUAAUACCGGAUAAUGUCUUCGGACCAAAGAUUUAUCGCCUUUGGAUGGGCCCGCGUUGGAUUAGCUAGUUGGUAGGGUAAAAGCCUACCAAGGCGACGAUCCAUAGCUGGUCUGAGAGGAUGAUCAGCCACACUGGGACUGAGACACGGCCCAGACUCCUACGGGAGGAAGCAGUGGGGAAUAUUGGACAAUGGGCGAAAGCCUGAUCCAGCAAUGCCGCGUGAGUGAUGAAGGCCUUAGGGUUGUAAAGCUCUUUUACCAGGGAUGAUAAUGACAGUACCGGGAGAAUAAGCUCCGGCUAACUCCGUG